rnacentral:rRNA from 1 species
AUUGAACGCUGGCGGCAGGCCUAACACAUGCAAGUCGAGCGAGCGGCGGACGGGUGAGUAAUGCCAGGGCAUUGCCCAGUAGAGGGGGAUAACAGUUGGAAACGACUGCUAAUACCGCAUACGAUUGGAGUGCUCAGGGGGGAUUAGCCAGUUGGUGAGGGAAUGGCUACCAAAGGCGACGAUCCCUCGCUGGUCUGAGAGGAUGAUCAGCCACACUGGAACUGAGACACGGUCCAGACUCCGACGGGAGGCAGCAGUGGGGAAUAUUGCACAAUGGGCGAAACCCUGAUGCAGCAAUGCCGCGUGUGUGAAGAAGGCCUUCGGUUUGUAAAGCACUUUCAGCGAGGAGGCGUUACUCGCCGAAGAAGCACCGGCUAACUCCGUGCCAGCAGCCGCGGUAAUAC